GCACCCGUAGCUCAGUUGAAUAGAGCGUCGCCCUCCGAAGGCGUCCCACACGUUCGAAUCGUGUCGGGUGCGCCA
rnacentral:tRNA from 1 species